AUACGUAGGUGGCGAGCGUUAUCCGGAUUUACUGGGUGUAAAGGGCGUGUAGGCGGGCUGACAAGUCGGAUGUGAAAUUCCCGGGCUUAACCCGGGCGGGUCAUCCGAAACUGUCGGUCUUGAGUACUGGAGAGGAUAGUGGAAUUUCUAGUGUAGCGGUAAAAUGCGUAGAUAUUAGGAGGAACACCAGUGGCGAAGGCGGCUAUCUGGACAGUAACUGACGCUGAGGCGCGAAAGCGUGGGGAGC
rnacentral:rRNA from 1 species